UACGAAGGGUGCAAACGUUGCUCGGAAUUAUUUGGGCGUAAAGGGCUCGUAGGCGGUUUUUGUCGCGUCGGGGAGUGAAAACCUACAGCUUAACUGUGGGCUUUGCUUUUCGAUACGGGCAGACUUGAGGCAUGCAGGGGAGACUGGAAUUCCUGGUGUAGCGGUGAAAUGCGCAGAUAUCAGGAGGAACACCGGUGGCGAAGGCGGGUCUCUGGGCCGAUACUGACGCUGAGGAGCGAAAGCGUGGGGAGCGAACAGG
rnacentral:rRNA from 1 species